GCCCGGGUGGCGGAACUGGUAGACGCAAGGGACUUAAAAUCCCUCGGGUUUUACCCGUCCGGGUUCGAGUCCCGGUCCGGGCACCA
rnacentral:tRNA from 2 species